GAGAAGAACGUAGCGAAAUGCGAUAAGUAAUGUGAAUUGCUGAAUUCAGUGAAUCAUCGAAUCUUUGAACGCAUCUUGCGCUCCUUGGUAUUCUGAGGAGCAUGCCUGUUUGAGUGUCAUCAAAUUCUCAACCACUUCUUUUGAUGUGGCUUUGGAUAUGGGGGGAUUUCUUUUUUGCAGGCUUCUGAAAAACAAAGUCGGCUCCCCUGAAAUGUAUUAGUGGUGUCUGAGCAGGAGACUACUAUGGGUGUGAUAAAUCUAUCUAUGCCUUGGUACAACUGCUAUGCCGCUUCUAGCGAGUGCAUUUGACAAAUUUGACCUCAAAUCAGGUAGGACUACCCGCUGAACUUAAGCAUAUCAAUAAGCGGAGGA
rnacentral:misc_RNA from 1 species